UGCGAGUGAAGCGGGAAAAGCUCAAAUUUAAAAUCUGGCGGUCUCUGGCCGUCCGAGUUGUAAACUAGAGAGGUGCUAUCCGUGCUGGACCAUGUAUAAGUCUCCUGGAACGGAGCGUCACAGAGGGUGAGAAUCCCGUCUUUGACAUGGACUGCCAGUGCAUUGUGAUGCGCUUUCAAAGAGUCGAGUUGUUUGGGAAUGCAGCUCAAAAUGGGUGGUAAAUUCCAUCUAAAGCUAAAUAUUGGCGAGAGACCGAUAGCGAACAAGUACCGUGAGGGAAAGAUGAAAAGAACUUUGGAAAGAGAGUUAAACAGUACGUGAAAUUGUUGAAAGGGAAACGCUUGAAGUCAGUCACAUUGGCUGGGAUCAACCUUGCAUUGUGAGGUGUACUCCCUGGUCAAUGGGUCAGCAUCAGUUUUGACUGCUGGAAAAAGGUUAGGGGAAUGUGGCAUCUCUGGAUGUGUUAUAGCCCCUGAUUGUAUACGGUGGUUGGGACUGAGGAACUCAGCACGCCGCAAGGCCGGGUUUAACCACGUUCGUGCUUAGGAUGCUGGCAUAAUGGCUUUAAUCGACCCGUCUUGAAACACGGACCAAGGAGUCUAACAUGCCUGCGAGUGUUUGGGUGGUAAACCCAUGCGCGUAAUGAAAGUGAAAGUUGAGAUCUCUGUCAUGGAGAGCAUCGACGCCCGGACCAGACCUUCUGCGACGGAUCCGCGGUAGAGCAUGUAUGUUGGGACCCGAAAGAUGGUGAACUAUGCCUGAAUAGGGCGAAGCCAGAGGAAACUCUGGUGGAGGCUCGUAGCGA
rnacentral:rRNA from 1 species